rnacentral:rRNA from 1 species
CCUACGGGAGGCAGCAGUGAGGAAUAUUGGUCAAUGGGCGGUAGCCUGAACCAGCCAAGUCGCGUGAGGGACGACGGCCCUACGGGUUGUAAACCUCUUUUACAAGGGAAUAAAGAUGGGGUCGAGACCCCAGUUGCAUGUACCUUGUGAAUAAGCAUCGGCUAACUCCGUGCCAGCAGCCGCGGUAAUACGGAGGAUGCGAGCG